GACAGAGGUGCCAAGCGUUAGGCGGAAUCACUGGGCUUAAAGCGUGUGUAGGCGGGUGCCUAAGUACCUUGUGAAAUCCCACGGCUCAACCGUGGAACUGCCCGGUAUACUGGGUGCCUUGAGCCACUUAGGGGCUACCGGAACAAAUGGUGGAGCGGUGAAAUGCGUAGAUAUCUGGAAGAACACCAAAGGCGAAGGCAGCAUCCUGGGAAGUUCCUGACGCUCGGGUGCGAAAGCCAGGGGAGCGAACGGG
rnacentral:rRNA from 1 species